ensembl:lncRNA
GUGUAACCCAAAACUCAGGGCUCCUCUCCUUAGCCGCUGUGUCGGUAAUGGUGGGAGCCCCAGCUCGAGCUUGGUAAUAAAAACUCUCUUGCUUUUGCAUCGGCUCCCUAGUGGUCACUGGGAGAUUUCGUGACUUGGGCAUAACACCUGCAUACAGAUUUCUCAGGAGGCAGAGGACAUCAUGAAAAAUGCUGGGCUGGAUGAAGCACAAGCUGGAAUCAAGAUUGUUGGGAGAAAUAUCAGUAAUCUCAUAUAUGCAAAUGACACCACCCUAUGGCAGAAAGUGAAGAACUAAAAAGCCUCUUGAUGAAAUUGAAAGAGGAGAGUGAAAAAGUUGGCUUAAAACUCAACAUUCAGAAAACAAAGAUCAUGGCAUCUGGUCCCAUCACUUCAUGUUAAAUAGAUGGAGAAACAGUGGGAACAGUGGCAGAUUUUAUUUCUUUGGGCUUCAAAAUCACUAUGGAUGGUGACUGCAGCCAUGAAAUUGAAAGAUGCUUACUCACUGGGAGAAAAGUUAUGACCAACCUAGACAACAUAUUAACAAGCAGAGACAUUACUUUGCCAACAAAGGUCCAUCUACCCAAGGCUAUGGCUUUUCCAGUGGUCAUGUAUUGAUGUGAGAGUUGGACUAUUAAGAAAACUGAGCACUGAAGAAUUGAUGCUUUUGAACUAUGGUGUUGGAGAAGACUCUUGAGAGUCCCUUGGACUGCAAGGAGAUCUAACCAGUCUGUCCUAAAGGAAAUCAGUCCUGAAUAUUCACUGGAAGGACUGAUGUUGAAGCUGAAACUUCAAUACUUUGGCCACCUGAUGUAAAGAGCUGACUCAUUUGAAAAGACUCUGAUGCUGGGGAAGACUGAAGGUAGAAGGGGACAAUAGAGGAUGAGAUGGUUGGAUGGCAUCACUGACUCAAUGGACAUGAAUCUGAGUAAACUCUGGGAGUUGGUGAUGGACAGGAAGGCCUGGUGUGCUGCAGUCCAUGGGAUUGCAAAGAGUCGGACACGAAUGAGCAACUGAACUGAACUGAACUGAAUGAUUAUGAAACACUAUGUAUCUUGCUCAAGGGCAUGUUUCUCCUUCCUAACAAAAACAUUCUGUUAUCCCAAGUGUAUGUUGUGAGGAUGGGUGCGGUAAUACUUUUCUGUUGUUAGUUCUAAUCUUGUUAAUUUAAGAUGUAUGUUGUAGGAGUGGGUCUGGGGAAAGUAUAUAAGGCCUUGAGAAGACUAGGAGUGGGGCACUCUCUGUCUCCCUUCUGAUGUCUGUGUCACAGUAGAACUUCUGCCACACAAAAGCUCUGAGUGAUCAAGCCUGGUUCCUGGUCCCAAAACUAAAUCUUCUUCUUCAGAGAUCAUGAAUCUGACAUCAUUCACUGUAAGCUAUCAGAGUCAUUAUUUUGUGUUGGGGAGAGAUUAAGAGUUCAGUUUUGAACAUGACAAACCUGAAAUGCCUUUGAGACAUUCAAGUGGAGCUGUCAAGUAGGCAGUUGAAUGAAAACGUACCCUUUGAGCCCAGAGGAGAGCCUGGAUUGGUUAUGGGCAUAUAUAUAUAUAUAUAUAUAUAUACACACAAAUACAUAUAUGUACAUACAUACAUACAUACAUAUAUAUGUAUUUAAGGCUUCCCUGGUGACUCAGACAUUAAAGAAUCUGUCUGCAAUACAAGAGACCUGGGUUCAGUCCCUGGGUUGGGAAGAUUCCCUGGAGAAGGGAAUGGCUACUAAAUCCAGUGUUCUUGCCUGGAGUAUUCCAUGGACAGAGGAUCCUGGAAAGCUAUAGUUCAUGGGGUCGCAAAGAGUUGGACAUGACUGAGGGACUAACACACACACACACACACACACACACACACACACACACACACACACACGUAUUUAAAACUGCAGUAUUGGAUGAGAUUACCAAGGGAAGAAAUGUACAGAGAGCCUUAGGACCUAGGACAUUGAUGCCGGUACUCAGAAGUUGCAAUGACAAGAAGGUGCCAAGCCAAGAAAUCUGAUAAAGAGGUGCCAGAGAGGUGAGAAGAAAACAGAGUGGGGUCCUAGAAGCUAGGAAGGAGGAAGUGGUAAACUGCUGAGGAAGGAAGUGAUAAACUAUUGAAAAUAACUUGAGACUUCACAGGUGGUCCCGUGGCUAAUACUCCAAGCUCCGGAUGCAGAGGCUCUGGGUUCCAUCCCUGGUUGGGGAACUAGAUAUCCUACAUGCUGCAACUAAGAAUUCACAUGCCUCAACUAAAAAGAUCCCGCAUGCUACAAAAGACCUAGUGCAGUCAAAUAAAAAUAAAAUAGCUAUUAAAAAAAUAAAUGAAAGGGCGAGCAAGAUGAGAAUUUAAAUGGAUCCAUUUAAUUUAGCAACAAAGAAGUCAUUGGUGAGUAUAAAAUCCUGCAAUGAAUAAACUCAUGCAUAUGUUUUCUCAUACACACACACGGAAGUCACUGGGGAGUAUCAGGAAGAGGAAUUCUGGUGGAGAGGCUGGAGCGGAAGCUACACUGGAGCACACUGAAGAGUACAUGAGAGAUGAGGAGGCAGAGACGGCAGGUGUCAGAGAGUUUGCGAAUGGGGUAGAGCAAUUGGGCAGUAACUGGAGGUGGGUUGUGGUGGUCAAGGUAGAACUUUCUCAAAGAUGUAGAUACUAGUGGAUACAUGUGCUUAUGGGAAUGAGCCAGCUGAAAGAAAAGGAUGCUUCAGAAGGAAAUGGGAUGAUCAAAGGAGCAAAGUCAGAGAGAAAGGGGCAAGGGAGAUGGUACCUAGAGCAGCAUCUUCAGACUCCUUUGUUCAUACUCCCUCACAAAAUAUUUAUUUUUAAAAUGUAUCCUCUUCAUUUUUGGUUAUUGCCUAAAUUAUUUCAUAAUUUUGAAUAACUGUAAAGGACAAUUUUUCUGCCUGUUGUAUAUGCUCUGUAUUUAUUUCUAAGCUUAUUUUUUCCCUUGAUGUUUCAUUUUAGAUAAUUUCUAUUUCUGUGUCUUCAAGUCCACUGAUCCUUUUGGUCUAAAACCUUGAAAGUAUUGAUUCCAUCCAGGGAUUUUUUUUUUAAUCACAGACAUUUUAGUUUUCAUCUCUACAAGUUCAAUGUGGGUAUUUAAAAUAUGUGCUAAGUUGCUUCAGACUCUUUGUGACCCCAUGGACCAUAGUCCACCAGGCUCCUCUGUCCAUGGGGUUUUCCCAGAAAGAAUACUAGAGUGGGUUGCCAUGCCCUCUUCCAGGGGAUCUUCCUGACCCAGGGACCAAACCCAUAUCUCCUGUAACUCCUGCAGAUUCUUUACCUGCUGCCCCAUUUUCUAUAUAUAUAUAUAUUCUCCAAGUCUCUACUUAAGCUAUGUGACCAUAGGGAAUACAGUUAUGAUAAUGUUCAUAUUUCUUGGCUUUGCUCUCUCAAAGACUUACUCAAGCAAAACAUUCUCAAGUAGUCCUCUUAUUUAUUUGUUCGUUUAUAGUGCAGAAAAUGGAGCCAGAGUAGUAGGAGUCAGAAUGAAGGAAGGGUCACUGCUGGGGAGGAGAGAGCGCUGGCCAAAGACUCCUUCUUAGGCUGAUCAAUAUGCGGAGAGGGAACUUAUGAAGGAAGCUCUUGAAAUUGACUUCCAAGCCAUCUGUAUCCACCUAUCUGCUAUAAACCAUUGGUGGGGACAUUAACUGCUUCCUUCUUUGUAACAGAAGGGAUGAGGAGAGAAGCCAGUAGGAGCAGGGUAGGUAAGCUGGGGACUGGGUGCCUUGAAGGUGAGGAAAUUUCUAUCUGAUGCCUCCAGCUUUCAUUAUGAAUAAUGAGUUUUUUGACUACUGAAAGUAAGUGUGCAGAGAGGUGAAGGGCAUCUGAUGUUGGAAGCAAGUGGAGAAAGUAUGAAAUGACUGCUGCGAAGAACUGAAACCAGUAACUAGAAUGCAAGGAGGCUAGGCAGAGCUGAGGUUACAGGUGAGGCUGUGGUCAUGAAUUCAAAUCCACAUCAGUCUGCCCAGCUGAGGGAUUCUCUUUAGCGAUCUUGAAGCUCUAAUUUGUUGUUUGUGAAUUUGGUAAACUGUUGAUCUCCCCUUAUGUUGAGGUAUAACAUGAAUAACCACACAGAGGCCUGAUGAUCAUGAUAAGUUUAUCAAGGUCCUUCCAGGGCUCUUCAGCACAAAGUGGCUUGGGACAGCCCACCAUUUACAUAGCACAUGGUGGCUUUCUUUUGUUUCUUAUUUUCCCGAAUUGAGUGACAACUUCUCCUAAGCAUAAAUACCUCUACACCACCUUGAGCUACUGUCAUCCCUGUGAACAAGGGUGAGGGUAGAAAGGGUAAGGAAUGUCUGUUUUUUCCCAUUCCCAAGCAAAUCUUGAUGCAUGUCAUGGAUGCCAGAGAGCUCAUAAUUG